GUGGGGCGCUGUGCCAUCUCAUGUCUGGGCCGGGCCGGGCCAUCUGCAGGCCACCCGCGGAGUGUCUGCCUCUCAGGUGCUCUGACCCGGUGUGUCCCAGCAGCUGUGACCAUGAGGUAUGCGCCAAAAGUCAAGAAGCCAAAAGCCACACCUGCUGCAGAAGUUCGCAGAUCUGCGUUUCGAAGCUAGACGUGUGUGAUGCAGAACUUCAAAGGAACCGAGGCCACAAUCCAGACCCACCAUCGCGCACCCUCCUGGCCGGGCUUCGACGCCCGUGUUGGUGCCGUGUCUGUGCCUUGCCGUGUGCGACAUCCCCUUACACACCACCUGUGACUACAACGUCUCCCGGGCCCGCUGCAAGGAGCUGGGGUGCUGCUUCUACCAGAGCAUCUGCUACGAGAAGGUCAUGCCGAGACCCCAGAAGAGAACACAGGCCCUCAAGAACCCGAGAGGACUCCCGACUUCCCCAGGGUGCUCACCCUUCGCACACAGAAGCCCCCACGAACCCUCCUGCCAUCUUUCAUUCUCCUAAGCGGGAAAAAUCCAUGAGAGGAGGAAGAAGAAAGAGAUUCUCAUGCAGUCCACUCUGCCACCUGAGGCCAGCAAUGAGACUGCUAAAGUCUCCCAGGGUGGACAAGUGGUGUCACAGCCGGCCAGUGUCAUUGUCUCCAGGAAGAGUGGCAAGAACCUGGAGGAAG
ensembl:lncRNA